CCUCACUUUCGAUCAAUUGUUGCUCCACGAGGUAACGUUGGAUGCAAAAGUGGGUUCCUGUGUUGCAUACCUAAUGCGAUGGAAAUCUGUGACUUUUGUUGUGCUUUUCAUCAGAACAUCCAUUUGGAUGGUCAGGUGGACUAGAUAGUAGGGCUUGUGCUCCACGAACACAUCUCCCAUAUGAUUGUUCCGAUGGACCAUGAGCGCCUACUUGUUCUUUCGGAUGCGGAACUUGAUUCACAGGAAUGGGGUCAUUGGCCCUUGUUCCCAAAUCUUUAAGCGUUAGUCGCUUUACUGGAAUGACGCUCUUGCCUUGUCUUUGAUCACGUGGAGCUCUCGGGCUUCAUGAAGGAUCAAUGCUCGGCGGACGUCGUGAAGGAAUGCUACCUGGUUG
rnacentral:misc_RNA from 1 species